rnacentral:rRNA from 1 species
GAUCAUGGCUCAGGAUGAACGCUGGCGGCGUGCCUAACACAUGCAAGUCGAGCGAAGCACUUUGCUUAGAUUCUUCGGAUGAAGAGGAUUGUGACUGAGCGGCGGACGGGUGAGUAACGCGUGGGUAACCUGCCUCAUACAGGGGGAUAACAGUUAGAAAUGACUGCUAAUACCGCAUAAGACCACAGCACCGCAUGGUGCGGGGGUAAAACUCCGGUGGUAUGAGAUGGCCCG